ACUCCUACGGGAGGCAGCAGUGGGGAAUAUUGCACAAUGGGGGAAACCCUGAUGCAGCCAUGCCGCGUGUGUGAAGAAGGCCUUCGGGUUGUAAAGCACUUUCAGUAGGGAGGAAGGUAGUGUAGUUAACACCUGCAUUAUUUGACGUUACCUACAGAAGAAGCACCGGCUAACUCGUUCGCCAAGUCAAGCCGCGGUAAUACGGAGGGUGCGAGCGUUAAUCGGAAUUACUGGGCGUAAAGCGCAUGCAGGCGGCCUGUUAAGUCAGAUGUGAAAGCCCGGGGCUUAACCUCGGAAUUGCAUUUGAAACUGGCAGGCUAGAGUC
rnacentral:rRNA from 1 species